GUUCAAGAUCUGAUUUAUUCCCCUGGAUUAACAAGCUGGCGGUCCGCCUGGUGUUACGGGAGCAUAAGACACGCAGUAAAGAGAUGUCGUUGGAUUUGCAAUGCGGUGGUGUUGUCGGAAGUCCCUUCGUGGAGGCCCGAAAAGGAACGCUUACCUGCCACAAGCUGCUUUCGUUGGGCGCCCUCGGCCAGUCCCAAGGAGAAGGUCUCACAUCUGCGAGGCUCAUGGAUACGUGAGGCGGGUAAUGAUGCUCUUCGGUCGCCCCCAGAGUUCAGGGAAAGGAAGUUUACGAACCGCUUCCUGCAGGUUCUGCCUGUCACCAGGUCCCGUGAAAGCUGGCGGCAGAGAGAUCCAGCUAUAACCACGACAUGGCCCAGCACGGUAAGGGGGUGGGGUGGGGUGUCAAGAGUCUGGAAGGAAACAUCUGUCCCUACAGCCUGGCCAACCCUGGGACACAGAGUGCCUGGGGCCACCUCUCUAUGUGGUUUCCCAGCAAGGCGGGCAGUGCCCCCUGCUCACCUGACAGCGUGGAGCUGCUGAUGGUGCUGGCCGGCGUGGUGACCUCGGGCUCCUCCGGGGCACCCUCUUCCGGAGGAAGGACCGGCUUCUCGGGCUCCUCGCGGGGGUCCCCGGGGCAGGGGGUGACCCCGCCUCGUUCCCCUUCUGUGGAGAUAGCCAGCUUGGGAAGCAGGCCAGAGCCGAGCUUCUGUCUGUUGCUUUCGGUAUCUGAAGAGUUGGACGUUGACAGCUGGUGCCUUCAGCGGAAACAAGAACAAAGUCACUCGCUGACACCAGGAUGCUGUGUUAGGAGCAUACGCGAGAAGUGACGCUGGGGAAUGAAUUCUGCCUUCUGUCUCAGCAAACUGUUCCAGUCCAAAGAGCGGAAGAAGCGGUGCUGCUUGACCUCAUAGGCACCACCUGGAAAGGAAGGCAGAGAUGACAGUGUGAACUAUCCUCCAAGCAGAGGGAAGCGCGGUCUGAGGAACAACUUAAGCUGUUUGGCAGCAUAAAUACAGACAUCGUGGAAGUAACACCUGAAAAAAACAUUCUACAACCAAACCUCCAAAAAGAGUAAUUUCCAUAAUUUAUCAGCAGGCGAUCUGGUUUUGCUAACAGCAGUUGCUCUGGCAUAGUGUUUUUCUUUGUUAAUUUUCCAUGACUCCCUCCAUUUUUCAAAGGUUAAUGGUGUGCUGUCAGGAGCCAUAGAGCAAAAGCCUCUCCAUUUUGCCUGAGCCUGCCCAUAAGCUGACUCAUUACUCAGAAAGCUGGUCCAUCCAGCUUUCUAUUAGGUACUUCUGG